rnacentral:rRNA from 2 species
AAAUUGAAGAGUUUGAUCAUGGCUCAGAUUGAACGCUGGCGGCAGGCCUAACACAUGCAAGUCGAACGGUAACAGGAAGCAGCUUGCUGCUUCGCUGACGAGUGGCGGACGGGUGAGUAAUGUCUGGGAAACUGCCUGAUGGAGGGGGAUAACUAUUGGAAACGGUGGCUAAUACCGCAUAACGUCGCAAGACCAAAGAGGGGGACCUUCGGGCCUCUUGCCAUCAGAUGUGCCCAGAUGGGAUUAGCUAGUUGGUGAGGUAACGGCUCACCAAGGCGACGAUCCCUAGCUGGUCUGAGAGGAUGACCAGCCACACUGGAACUGAGACACGGUCCAGACUCCUACGGGAGGCAGCAGUGGGGAAUAUUGCACAAUGGGCGCAAGCCUGAUGCAGCCAUGCCGCGUGUAUGAAGAAGGCCUUCGGGUUGUAAAGUACUUUCAGCGGGGAGGAAGGUGUUGUGGUUAAUAACCGCAGCAAUUGACGUUACCCGCAGAAGAAGCACCGGCUAACUCCGUGCCAGCAGCCGCGGUAAUACGGAGGGUGCAAGCGUUAAUCGGAAUUACUGGGCGUAAAGCGCACGCAGGCGGUCUGUCAAGUCGGAUGUGAAAUCCCCGGGCUCAACCUGGGAACUGCAUUCGAAACUGGCAGGCUUGAGUCUUGUAGAGGGGGUAGAAUUCCAGGUGUAGCGGUGAAAUGCGUAGAGAUCUGGAGGAAUACCGGUGGCGAAGGCGGCCCCCUGGACAAAGACUGACGCUCAGGUGCGAAAGCGUGGGGAGCAAACAGGAUUAGAUACCCUGGUAGUCCACGCCGUAAACGAUGUCUACUUGGAGGUUGUGCCCUUGAGGCGUGGCUUCCGGAGCUAACGCGUUAAGUAGACCGCCUGGGGAGUACGGCCGCAAGGUUAAAACUCAAAUGAAUUGACGGGGGCCCGCACAAGCGGUGGAGCAUGUGGUUUAAUUCGAUGCAACGCGAAGAACCUUACCUGGUCUUGACAUCCACAGAACUUUCCAGAGAUGGAUUGGUGCCUUCGGGAACUGUGAGACAGGUGCUGCAUGGCUGUCGUCAGCUCGUGUUGUGAAAUGUUGGGUUAAGUCCCGCAACGAGCGCAACCCUUAUCCUUUGUUGCCAGCGAUUAGGUCGGGAACUCAAAGGAGACUGCCAGUGAUAAACUGGAGGAAGGUGGGGAUGACGUCAAGUCAUCAUGGCCCUUACGACCAGGGCUACACACGUGCUACAAUGGCGCAUACAAAGAGAAGCGACCUCGCGAGAGCAAGCGGACCUCAUAAAGUGCGUCGUAGUCCGGAUUGGAGUCUGCAACUCGACUCCAUGAAGUCGGAAUCGCUAGUAAUCGUGGAUCAGAAUGCCACGGUGAAUACGUUCCCGGGCCUUGUACACACCGCCCGUCACACCAUGGGAGUGGGUUGCAAAAGAAGUAGGUAGCUUAACCUUCGGGAGGGCGCUUACCACUUUGUGAUUCAUGACUGGGGUGAAGUCGUAACAAGGUAACCGUAGGGGAACCUGCGGUUGGAUCACCUCCUUACCUUAAAGAA